GCUCAGUAACACGUGGACAACGUGCCCUAAAGUGGAGCAUAAUCUCGGGAAACUGAGGAUAAUUCUCCAUAGACCAUGAGAUCUGGAAUGACUUAUGGUUCAAAGUUCCGGCGCUUUAGGAUCGGUCUGCGGCCUAUCAGGUAGUAGUGGGUGUAACGUACCCCCUAGCCAGUUACGGGUAUGGGCCUUGAGAGAGGGAGCCCAGAGUUGGAUUCUGAGACACGAAUCCAGGCCCUACGGGGCGCAGCAGUCGCGAAAACUUCACAAUGGGCGAAAGCCCGAUGAGGGAAUUCCUAGUGCUAGCACAUUUGUGUUAGCUUUUCCUUAGCGUAGAUAACUAGGGGAAUAAGGGCUGGGUAAGACGGGUGCCAGCCGCCGCGGUAAUACCCGCAGCCCGAGUGGUGGUCGAUUUUAUUGAGUCUAAAACGUUCGUAGCCGGUCUGAUAAAUCCCUGGGUAAAUCGGGUGGCUUAACCAUCCGAAUUCCGGGGAGACUGUCAGGCUUGGGAUCGGGAGAGGUAUGAGGUACUUCAGGGGUAGGGGUAAAAUCCUGUAAUCCUUGGAGGACCACCGGUGGCGAAGGCGUCGUACUAGAACGAAUCCGACGGUGAGGGACGAAGCCCUAGGUCGCAAACGGGAUUAGAUACCCCGGUAGUCUAGGGUGUAAACGCUGCAGACUAGGUGUUGGAGGCCCUACGGGGGCACCCAGUGCCCGAGAGAAGUUGUUAAGUCUGCUACUUGGGGAGUACGUCCGCAAGGAUGAAACUUAAAGGAAUUGGCGGGGGAGCACAAUCUCCAAGUCGC
rnacentral:rRNA from 1 species